ensembl:lncRNA
ACAUACACACACACACACCUACACACACACACACCUACACACACACACACACACCAGGACACCAGUGACUUUGAGACGUCCGCGGGCGUCAUGAAUCAUGCGAGGUGUGAGCGGGGGUGUCUGCCGGCGUGAGAUACGAGCUCACUGGCGUGGCGUGCGAAUCUGCCGAUAACAGUGGGGCGACCUUUCUGCACCGGACAGCUCCCAACGGCUCCCACGAGCUUCAGCUCCUCCAGCUUCCACACUGUUUCAGCACUGCCGCCCGCUAGACAGCUCCCGGCAGGCUUGCCAUCUGCUCCCAAAAGAACCUCCCAUCGCCACAGACGCGAUGCACUUCUGACGGGCCGAGACACUGCCAGUCAGCUCCGCGCCCACAUGGUCCAUCUCUGUCUCCCUGUCCCUGUCUCUCGCUCUCGGAGGUUCUGAUUGGCCCCGGCGAGUCAUGUGAUGGGCUCGGGCCUGUUCCUGUUUGCUG